CGUUCUCUGCACAAAAUACUUGGUGAAGCCAUAGAAACUGUCCCUGCUACAGAGUGGGAAUUGCCGCAGCCCCAGGCUGAGACAGGAUCUGGAACAGAAUCUGACAGUGAUGAAUCAGUCCCAGAGCUUGAUGAACAAGAUUCCACACAGGCAACCACACAACAAGCCCAGCUGGCAGCAGCAGCAGAAAUCGAUGAAGAACUAGCCAGUAAAGCAAAACAGAAUCAGAGUGAAAAAAAGGCAUCAAAGACUGUGUCUAAACUGGGUUUUCGCCAGGUUAUAGGGGUUACUAGAGUCACUAUCCAGAAAUCUAACACGAGUAUCCUCUUUGUUAUUAUAGAACCAGAUGUCUAUAGGAGCUGCGCUUCAGAUACCAACAUAGUUUUUGGGGAAGCCAAGAGUGAGGACUUAUCUCAGCAAGCACAGCUAGCAGCUGCUGAGAAAUUCAAAGUUCGAAGUGAAGUUGUCUCAAUUACACACAGACUCCAAAUGUACAACGGAAAAGCAAAGAUGAAGAGGUUGAUAAAACAGCUAUGGAAGUUAAGAACAUGGAAUUGGUUACGUCACUAGCAAAUGUGUCAAGAGCAAAGGCAGUCUGAGCCCUGAAGAACAAUAGUAGUGAUAUUGUAAAUGCUAUUCUGGAAUUAACAAUGUAA